rnacentral:misc_RNA from 1 species
AGUCGUAACAAGGUUUCCGUAGGUGAACCUGCGGAAGGAUCAUUAACACUUAAAUUAAUGUCCGUCCCACAAAACACCUUUGAGAAUGGUCCGGUGAUGAAAAACAAAAAACAUUCUGGAGGAGAGAGAUGGUAAAAAAAAAGAAGUGUGAGGAACCUUUUUUGAGAACAAAAAAGCUUCGGCUUUCUUUAGUAUUAUUUUAGGUUCUUCCUCUUAUUUUUUCUUCUCUUUCUCUCUUUCUUCUCUCUCUCUCUUUAACAAAACACCCCCAACCUUUUAUUAAACAAAAAAAAUUAAAUAGAAGCAAAACAAAAUUAAAUAAAAUACAACUCUUAACAAUGGAUAUCUUGGUUCUCGC